GAUGAACGCUGGCGGCGUGCCUAAUACAUGCAAGUCGAGCGAACAGAUGAGGAGCUUGCUCCUCUGGCGUUAGCGGCGGACGGGUGAGUAACACGUGGAUAACCUACCUAUAAGACUGGGAUAACUUCGGGAAACCGGAGCUAAUACCGGAUAAUAUAUUGAACCGCAUGGUUCAAUAGUGAAAGACGGUUUUGCUGUCACUUAUAGAUGGAUCCGCGCCGCAUUAGCUAGUUGGUAAGGUAACGGCUUACCAAGGCAACGAUGCGUAGCCGACCUGAGAGGGUGAUCGGCCACACUGGAACUGAGACACGGUCCAGACUCCUACGGGAGGCAGCAGUAGGGAAUCUUCCGCAAUGGGCGAAAGCCUGACGGAGCAACGCCGCGUGAGUGAUGAAGGUCUUCGGAUCGUAAAACUCUGUUAUUAGGGAAGAACAAAUGUGUAAGUAACUAUGCACGUCUUGACGGUACCUAAUCAGAAAGCCACGGCUAACUACGUA
rnacentral:rRNA from 1 species